rnacentral:rRNA from 1 species
ACUGCAGUCGCCGCGGGAAUACGUAGGGUGCAAGCGUUAAUCGGAAUUACUGGGCGUAAAGCGUGCGCAGGCGGUUUGUUAAGACAGAUGUGAAAUCCCCGGGCCCAACCUGGGAACUGCACUUGUGACUGGCAAGCUAGAGUGUGGCAGAGGGGGGUGGAAUUCCGCGUGUAGCAGUGAAAUGCGUAGAUAUGCGGAGGAACACCGAUGGCGAAGGCAGCCCCCUGGGCCAACACUGACGCUCAUGCACGAAAGCGUGGGGAGCAAACAGGAUUAGAUACCCCUGUAGUCCCUGUCUCUUAUAC